UACGGAGGGAGCUAGCGUUGUUCGGAAUUACUGGGCGUAAAGCGCACGUAGGCGGCUUUGUAAGUUAGAGGUGAAAGCCCGGGGCUCAACUCCGGAACUGCCUUUAAGACUGCAUCGCUUGAAUCCGGGAGAGGUGAGUGGAAUUCCGAGUGUAGAGGUGAAAUUCGUAGAUAUUGGGAAGAACACCGGUGGCGAAGGCGGCUCUCUGGACCGAUACUGACGCUGAGGCGCGAAAGCGUGGGGAGCAAACAGG
rnacentral:rRNA from 1 species